rnacentral:rRNA from 1 species
AUUGAACGCUAGCGGGAUGCCUUACACAUGCAAGUCGAACGGAGUGGCGAACGGGUGAGUAAUGUAACGGAACGUGCACAGUAGCGGGGGAUAACUACGCGAAAGCGUAGCUAAUACCGCAUACUAUUGGCACGGCAGGUAUCGGAUGAGCUAGGUGGUGGGGUAACGGCUCACCCAGGCGACGAUCCGUAGCUGGUUUGAGAGGACGACCAGCCACACUGGGACUGAGAAACGGCCCAGACUCCUACGGGAGGCAGCAGUGGGGAAUUUUGUACAAUGGGGGAAACCCUGAUCCAGCCAUCCCGCGUGUGCGAUGAAGGCCUUCGGGUUGUAAAGUACUUUCAGCGAGGAGGCGUUACUCGCAGAAGAAGCACCGGCUAACUCCGUGCCAGCCGCCGCGGUAAUAC